AAAGCCAGCAGUCACAGGCCUCACCCAGCUCCCACAGAACCCAAAGGGCCCGUCUCACUCCCACCAUGCCCCACCUAACAGUAGCAAGUCUAUUUCCAGGCAGUGGGUGAGCAGGGCUGAGAACUUGCCCUGGGCUACCUGCCUCCAAGCUGUGAAAGUAAAUAGGGCUUUUGUGCUUCCCUCACCUGUGAAGUCUGCACACUGGAUUCAUGCCCUCCCCCGAGUUCUGGCCAGGAGACUUCUCUAUCAGUUCAAAUUGUUACAAACUUCAGCUGGAGGUUUUCUUCUGCAGUGGCCUUUUCCCAGUGCCUCUGGCAGCUUUCCUCAAGGAUCCCUGUGAGCAAGUCUCUCAGACAAGGGGCAGUAACAGAGACUUGAGUCAAGAGCAAGAUUUCGAUAGGACAAGUCACAGCUCUUCAGUAAACAAGAAAAACAAUCUUGAAGGUUAAUGAAAGCUGCUGGAGGGAAAAUGGCUCAGAUUCCCAAGACUGCUUCUCCUGUUUGGAGUAAUGAAAGAGAGAAAAAGAAGAGAGAAUUGGACUCUGUCUCCAUGAUACUACAUCAAGAACUGCCUCUUUCUACAGGAUUUGCUACCACCUGUGAGAUGUUUGUAGAAGAACAGAAAGCCGAGCCACUUCUGUAGCAGAAUGAGGGUGCAAUGCCCACAGCUGCUGACAUUUCCUUGAGUGGCGCCUGGUCACCCACAGAGCCACUUUUGCUACACCCUCCCUUCCUAGUCCUUAAGUGGCUCCACAGAAUAAAUCAUCUGAAACUCACGUUACCACCAGUGGAGGAGGGAUGAGGACUGUAGUGAAAAUAAAUGCGUAGGUAUAUCCUUGACAUUAUUAUCAAGACUCUGGAGCUCUUUUGAAAGGAUUUCACAGCAAAUUCCAAAACCCAGAGUGUAAAUGAAUAGAAAUGCUUUUGUCUUAU